rnacentral:rRNA from 1 species
UACAGAGGGGGCCAGCGUUAUUCGGAAUUAUUGGGCGUAAAGGGCGCGUAGGCGGCCAUGCGUGUCUUCCGUGAAAUCCCUCGGCUUAACCGAGGACGUGCGGAAGAAACUGCAAGGCUCGAGUCCGGAAGAGGGGGGCGGAAUUCCCAGUGUAGCGGUGAAAUGGCGUAGAUAUUGGGAGGAACACCAGUGGCGAAGGCGGUCCCCUGGGCCGGAACUGACGCUGAGGCGCGAAAGCGUGGGGAGCGAACAGG